UACCGCCGAGGUCUCCCCAGGAGCAGCAGCCGGCCGACCUGGCCCUUCUUAGAUCUCCUCUACAACGUCGUGGAGCUAGACUUCCUGCUCCUCGACCUACUACACUAUCAUCCCCUUCUCCUCCAAUUCUUCAAACUCCGUCUCCGUGCUACCUACCGCUAGCCAUUCGACUUGUGCUGCGCAGGGAAAUCGAGGAGCCGCUACAAACUUUGAAAUUUUAGUCAUACCCCUGAUCGCGUACACGGCUUCAUGUCUCUCCGACCUCUGUUGGAAAAACACAAGGUCUACAAAACGAACCCACUAACCUUCUUCCAGCAAGUACCGCCGGGUACCGACAAGUUCCCCUACCCCAACGAUUAGCUCCUGAUACUACCGUUCUGUCUGGGUCGUAGCCACCAGAAACUACCUGACAUGCACACCCGUGUUUAAGUGUUAUAGGGGCUAAAUAUGGCGUUCCAACUUCACCACCUAGUCGAACGAGCGGCGUAUCCGGCACACUUCCUCUGAGUUGAGCGAGGGUUCAAUAUAAUGUUCCCUCUGAUGUAGUCUCAAGCUCGUUCCAAUGAACUCCUCGUAAAAAUACUGUACCUGUUCCGUCUUUAGGAUUUGUAGGGAGAAUCGAGAUUCCAUGUUCGUCUGAAGACCAGAACCGUGAUACUAUUCUCCCCGGAAAAAUCACAUGCAAGCCGAAUGUCCGAGGACCGUCGGUGUUUCCUCGUCGCCUGACUAACCGAACUCCCGUUGGGACCUGUGAGUUUAUAACCGCGCCUGUACGCGAGAACCAGUUUUAACACCCCGCGGUGCUAAGGUAGUUUUUAGUUUCCAAAACGUACCGCUGAACGAUUUUGCAGGUAGGGGUGUCCGCUUCAAGCUUUUGUGUCCUUCUACCGUCUGAGCCGACUUACGAGCUAAACAGUACGCCGAGAUCUAUGUACCGCAGUAAGAGAGAAACUGACGGCCGAACGUUCCACGCAGACCCGCGACCGGCUGCUCCUCGACUGCCUACACGAAUAGAGAUUAGCAUGACUACUACGUUUCUUUAUGAAUCUCCUAGACCUCGACCGAAGACGUGAGUUUUGAUUAGUCGGGGUCCGUGACGUACGUUUCCGCUCCCCAUACGUACGUUAAAGGUAUCCGUACGUACCUUGCGUAUACUGUCUUUGUCAAGGGUGUCCGGGGACGACCGACGUUGGACUACGAGUGCUCAAGUUUUACUUGCACCUACGGCCGGACCGAUCCUUGCCGAGUUUCCCCCAACGUCGCCAUUAUACGUCCCUGUUCUCACCGUUUAUGUACCCGCGGAGUCGGCAGCAGAAACUCCCCGAGCAGCUAGGACGCUGUGAACUUCGGGUUCGCACGUUCCUCCGAUACCUAAACCGAUGUCUAGAAGUAGAGCUGAGCAACACAUAACGAAGUCUGACGGAUCUUCACCACCGGUUAUAGUGUAGACUCUGGUGGACGGCCGGCUGUCGGUACCUCCUCAUGUACCGCUCGUACUUCCAGGAGAUAUGCCGUUUUGUACACUCUUUGCUCAGGCCCGUCGUACGGUUUCUUGGUUAACUCUGUAGCUACCUUUUAAAGUUCCUAAUAUAAUUCCUUCUAUCUUCACUUUUCUUAUCUACGUACGGAGAACCGGUACUUCUCUUUAUAUUACUCAGGACGUGGCCUCCUCGGUUUCAGGGGCUCCGUUGGCACUAUCUUCAACUAGACCUCCACUACGAACGACACUUCUGGAGUAGACUAUGUUCUCUCGACUACGGUUCCUUUCAAUUAUUUGGUUGAUUGUUGUAUUUGUAAACGCAUGUUGGGAGCCAUAUU
rnacentral:rRNA from 1 species